UGGGAGCCCAAACUCCUUAGCUGGAACUAUUACCACUUUCCUCCGGGCCCCUGCCCUGAGGGAAGAGGUGGACCCCAGGAGUGCUCACGACACCCAACCAGAGGUGGAAAACAGAUUCCAUAGCCCCAUUAGAUUUACGGGCUGAGGUUACGUCUCUACAGCAUGAGAGGAAAAGAACACUGUGACCUAGAGUUCCUGUUCCAGAAGCACCUAUGGGAAGAGGCUUCGACUGCAGCAGGAAGUUUUGAGCCAGAGCCUCCAGGGGAUAGUGAAAAGAGCUUUGGAGGCAAACACUUUU
rnacentral:lncRNA from 1 species